UCGACCGUGGGACCAGACGACAGCGGUCUCCAGUUGCAAGUCAGCGCAACGCGGCUCCCGCAGGCCACCUGGGCUUGAAGCGUGUUUACCAGUAGUUGUAAUUUGGAGUUAGAAUAAACAGGUUCUCUCUACUUGGACUCAUUAUUAUAGAAAAUCUACCGUCCACUAAACAACAAUGGCUGGAGGUAUCACAAAGGUUUGAGCAGCGUUGGAACUUCCCCAUGCCAUUGGUGCGAUGGACGGAAAGCAUGUCAAAAUCCGCGCUCCUGCACACAGUGGAUCCGAUUACUACAAUUACAAAAACUUUUUUAGUAUUGUGCUUCUAGUAAUAGUGGACGCUGACUACAAUUUUCUGUUCGCGGAUGCGGGAGGAAAAGGAGGCAUUUCGGAUGGAGGAAUACUUCGAAACAGUCGAUUGUUUCAAAAACUGGAAAACAAGUUGUUGAAUAUACCUGAUCCAGAGCCUUUGCGAGUACCAUAUAGAGUUCCAGUACCGUACUUCUUGCUAGGAGACAAGGCUUUCGCCUAUACCGAUUACUGCAUCCGUCCAUUUGGUGGAAUCGAUUCACCUGGAAGUUAUCAGCGCAUUUUCAACUUUAGACAUUCUCGAGCUCGAAUGCCCGUUGAAAAUGCGCUGGGAAUUGUGACAAACAAAUUCGAAGUACUAAGUGGGCCAAUACGUCCUCCACCGGAUGUAGCAAAACACGUUGUGUUAACGCCAUUAUAUUUACACAUUUUCUUGCGUAAAAUUGAUUCAAGGCAUAUCUCAUACUCGCCACCAUCUUCAUUCGACAGAGUCGUUAACGGAAACUUGAUACCGGGCGAUUGGAGAGCCAAUGAAGGGUUAGCAGGUCUGCAAGGUGUUUCGUCAAUGGCACCUGAUCGAUUGUUGAAUAUUCGAACGCAUAUGGCACUAGACUUCAAACAUAAUUUUAAUCAUUAUGGUUGAACUAUUAACCAUAAUGGUCAGGUCGUUGCACAACAUGUCAAAUAAGAAUAAGCCAUUGAAAUACAACGAAUUUGUUUGAAUUGCUUUAUCAACGGCA